GCGUCAUUGGGACUUUCAUCUUCUAGGUACCAUGUUGUCCAGCUGGAGCUGAGAGGAGAACCCUGGGUACAUGACAGAGUGGACAUGACUCCAGACAGAGCAAGAGGGGCUCAAAUAUGGCCCGGCCCUGGGGACAAGGCAGCCAAGCCGGGAGCUAGAAGAAGUCUCAGAUCCACCUUCCCGGAGGCGAUGUGCUUGAGAUAUUUAAGGUUUCGGAAACAUCUGAAAUAUUAUGGCUGUCUCUCUGGGACCAGCGAAGACUACAUUCCAUGGAAAUCUGGGUUCGUCUCCUUUAAGAAGCGUGAAACUCCGCCCCCGUCCUCAGAGCCUCCAGGACACUCUUUCCCAGGAUCCCGGGCAGUGAGGCGGGGCUUUUCCUGUAGGCGGGGAGCACCACCCCUUGACAGGUUCUAGAGGCCUGUGAACUGCAUUACCCGGAAAAAAACUACGCCAGUUCGUGGGCGCCCCUGGGCCAAUGAAGGCUCAGGAAAGAGUCACUUCCGUUCUAGAGGACGGAGUCUGGGCGGCAUUUCCGGCGUCGACUGAGGUCGUUAUUUUGUAAACUCGGCUGUGUUCACAGGCGGGGAACUUCGCAACGCUGUGAAGGCCAGAGGUCAGGGAGCCAGGAAAGCGCCGUGCCCGCUUCUCUGAGCUUCGUCUGAGGCUCGGCGUGGGCGCUAUCCGGCCUGACUCUGUCGGGCGGUUGGUGCCGCAGUGCCCGGGCCCCACCUUCACCCACAAACUCCGCUGGCGCCGGCGCAGAUGUGUCUGAUUCAGGUCUUAGUUGCAGCACACAGGAUCUUUCGUUGAAGCACAUGGGCUCAGUUGCCCCACCACAGUAUGUGGGAUCCAACCUGCAUCCCCUGCAUUGGAAGGCAGAUUUUUAAUCACUGGACCACCAGGGAAGUUCCUGAAUAAUACUUAUUUUAGUGGAAAAUCAUAAAUGAUUAAGCUAUCUUGUUAAAAUACUUGUUUUAAGGGUGAUAAAAUGAAUCAUUGUAAGUGUAAAAAGUGAUAAUGCUUUGUCAUUAUCACUUUUUGUCAUUGUAAGUGACAUUGUAAGUGUAAAAAGUGAUAAUGCAAGAUGUUAAGAACUCAAUAAGGUAUUUCUGUGUUUCUACAAUGCAGAUGGACUAGAGGUCAAGUCCUAUAGCUUGUUGCAGUUCUCUUAAGUUUAAAGAGUCAGCAAUGAUGCCCAGUUAUCCCCAAGUGCUGGAGGCCAAGCACUUUGAUUCUGGCAAGAAUCCCUUUUCCAGAGAGUCAUAUUCAGUGUGAAUUCAGUAAAUUGUGGUUCAUGAUCUCUACCCCUGGAGAAGAAAUCUAGUAGGAAAUUACAGAUAGUCUCUCUGAACAGGUAUGGGGGAAAAAAAUGGAUAUAUCAAAGAAUAUGGUGGAUAAGUAUAAAAAGUAUAUAUUCUUGAAUCCUAUUAUGUAAUGUUAGCAUAAUUCCAAAUCAGAAUUUAAUCUAUGGAUUAUGUAAGGUGGAGAUUUUUAUAAAGUAAUAAUUUUUAAUAUAACCAAAGUAAAAUUUGAAAAGAACCAUUUCCUCUCCAACACAAUCCCUUAUUCUUCUGGCUCAAUGGGCUCCAGUCACACUAGCCUUGUGGAUGCUGUUCAUACACACCAGACAUGACUCUGAUAGAGAGGCUUUGCACUUUUUUGUCCCACUUCUGGACAGCCUUUUCUCAAGGUAUCCACAUGACCUUAUGGCACAACUCUAUAACAUUUUCUGCCCUCUUUUACAUGCUUUAUUUUUCUCUUGAGUAUUUGUCUUUGCCUGAAAUAUUAAAUGGUUCGCUCAGCAGAACCAUUUAUGGCCCCUGCACUGGUGUCAGGUGUCUUCAUGGACUUGGUGUCUGUAGAUCCUAGGUUUUAUGGACAGAUUCCCAUUUUUGGCAGCCAGCGGACUGAGACAUGAAAGGUUGUCUUAGUAAUGGGGCUAGUAUAUACAAAUGCUUGAGGAUGUGAUUGUGAUGGGAGUGCUCUAGGACAUGUAGGUCUGUUAACAACUGAUAAGGACAGAGAGCAAGAGGGGCAGAAUUAGAAUGGUAGCAUGAGGUUUCUGUUCUGAGAAUGAUGGUAGACAUGUAAUGUAUGAGGAGGUUCAGUGAGUAAUAUGCAUGUGAGGAAAGUGUGUGAAGUAAUUGCCCCAAGCCCUAGUACUAGAAGUAUAAGAGAGAAGGAUGGGGCUAAGUUUGCUUGUAUCUGGGAGACAUGAUAGUGAGUACACUCAGGCUGUUGUCUUGGAGGAAAGGGAAAGGGCCCUGCAUACCAGGCUCACAGAUUACAUGGUAUCUCUCUGUCCACCUGCCUGUUGUUGCUCAGGGUCAUACAUACUGAUAAAGGAAGCAUGAAGAGUUAUUGGGCCCACUGCCCUCUAAGUCACGGAGCUGGGGUGGAUGAUGAACCCAGAGUAUGGGCUGGGUUUAGAAGUACUUAUGGGGUCCUGGGGAGAGAGGCUGCUUAUGUACAAAUCUGUCCCAUCAUCACAGGGCCCUGUGACUUUUGAGGACGUGGCUGGGUACUUUUCCCAGGAGGAAUGGAAGCUUCUUGAUGAGGCCCAGAGAUUCCUGUGCCGUGAUGUGAUCCUGGAGCCCUUUGCACUUGUUGCAUCAUUGGUUUGUUGGCAUGGAGCAGAGCACAAGGAGAUAAUUUCUGAGCAGAAUGUUUCUGUAGAAGUGCCAUGAAUAAAUACUUCAGAGACCUGUCCAUCCAAAGUCCUGUCCCUGGAAGAUGUGUAGCCUGGCCUUAAACAUCUGCAGGUACAACCUCCGGAGAGAGCACUAAGCGCGCCCGCCCGGCAAGACCGGAAUGAUCCCGCCAGCCCCGCCGACCUCCCGGAACUCUGCCUCGGGCAUCGCGGCCGAAUCCCAUCCCCUGCAGACGUCGCCCGAGCUCCGGACGGGAAGGGACAAAAUAAACGUGACCGCCAGAUGGCGCCCGACAACCGGCGGGAACAUUAGCGGGACGGAUCCGGAUCGCUGGCCGGCGAGGGCGCACUGCCGGCCGCCCGGAUGCCCGACCUCGUUACGUCCCGGCCCACCUCCGAGCUGGUCUCAUGGCCACGGGUUACAAACUCCCAGCUAUAGCAUGUGUGUUUUUGCUUCCUGCCCACUAGUGGAAGUCACUACCUAGUUCUUCCCGCCACUGUGGUCAUAAAGGCACAGCCCCAACUCCUCUCUGCUUCCUGACACCUCCACGUGACAGGCUUCAUGUGGUCUUACGUGUCCUGCUGUGCCUGUCGUUUCCUUGGGGAACUUUCAACGGCAGUAGCCUCUCCUGUCCUCACUCAGUCACCUCCAUAAAUUAAAAUCCCGGGAGCACAUUUUUACACAGUUGUAAAACUGACAAGAGGAUUAUUUAGCUUUUCGAAAGUUUUAUGUACGUCUCAAAGGGACAGAGAAAGAAUUCAGAAUUAGAAGUUUGCUAACGGAAAUGCUCUAAGAAAAGAGAUUGGAGGAGAUUCAUGGCACAAAGCUCCAAAUACCCAACAUUCCGAAAAGGUUACAGUGAAUCCCAGUGAACAAGAUAACACACUGUGAGCAAACAACCCAGUGCCUGCUUGCUUGCAGAUUUUGGCAACCUACAGUAACAUUUUCCAAGCCGGUCCUUUCUUGAAUAUGCAUGCCCCCCAGGCUUAAUACUUCAGUCCAGUGCUUUGAGAGCUAUCUCCCUGUCUCCUUACUUGUCACAAGUAAUAAAUGCUUCUGCUUUAACUGAAAGUACUUGGUGUGUUCACUGGCUAUGCACCCCAAGGCAAGGACCCACUGAGUCCGGUAACAAUAAUGAUACACCACAGCACAACUUGGAGGCCCGUGCACAGGCAUCCUGGGGACACUGUGAUGAGGUCUGCAUGCUGACACCCCUCAACAAGCCUACGCACACACAUGCAUUACACCACGUCCACAACAGAAAAGACAUGUGAUAGUCAUGAGACACACAACCAGUGUAUGUGGCACACAUUAGAGGCUUGUGGGAAUAGAGAGAGGUGCUGAACUACCACACCAGGUAUGAGGACACAAAUGCACAAAUGCUCCAGGGAGACUUGUGAGACAAGCAUGGGAUAGGGAGGCCCAAAAGCCUAGUGUGUGGAUAUACACACAGGAUCACACAAUCAUGCACGUGGACCGAGUGUGACAGGUGGUUUCAACCUGGCUGGGACAUAACCCCUGCUCUUCCCCAUCCUAGCACCAUACCUGUAGGUUUGAUGAUGUGCUGAUGGCAGCCAGAACAGGAGCUGGGUGCUCAUCUUGCCACAACCUGCAGUCUCACACGUUUGAAGACCGAAUGUAAACACUAAAGGUCACGUGAUGGAAGCAAAUCAGCCCAAGCCCUGGUAGCAGAAAACUAUAUCCGAAAUGCCUGCUAACAAGGCCCAGGAAUCACAGUCUGAAGGGGACAGAGUUGGGGGAGGUUAUGGUCUCUACUGGAGGGUCCGUAUGCGUUGAGGAAGUUUCAGGGACAGCGGAUCAAGGAUGGUUUGGCAAAGGGAGGAAUUAUUUCCCUGGAUUGUUAGCCAUUGUUUGGGAAGUUUGUAUUUUACCCAGAAGGGUGAGGAUGAUCAUGUAGCUGUGUUGUCAUCCCAGGUGAGUCCUAAGUCUUUCCUCUUCCUGGUGUUUCUUGAAGUCUUUACUCCUGAGUAGACGGGCGUUUCUAAUUUUCUAUGUGCUGAACUGCAACUACAACAAAGACAAUAAAACACAUAGCUAAGUUAAAUUCAGAGAAACAAACAUAGAAAAGAAAGCUCAUUGCUUAAUUUUAUAAAAGUUUCUUGGCCGUCUGGCAGAUCUCUCAUUUCAACAGCAUUUGGACUGAACAGACCCAGGGGCGCCCCUUCCUCCUGACUCUGA